rnacentral:rRNA from 1 species
GACGAACGCUGGCGGCGUGCUUAACACAUGCAAGUCGAACGGAAAGGCCCUGCUUGCAGGGUACUCGAGUGGCGAACGGGUGAGUAACACGUGGGUGAUCUGCCCUGCACUUCGGGAUAAGCCUGGGAAACUGGGUCUAAUACCGGAUAGGAGCCAUUUUUAGUGUGAUGGUUGGAAAGUUUUUUCGGUGUAGGAUGAGCUCGCGGCCUAUCAGCUUGUUGGUGGGGUAAUGGCCUACCAAGGCGGCGACGGGUAGCCGGCCUGAGAGGGUGGACGGCCACAGUGGGACUGAGAUACGGCCCAGACUCCUACGGGAGGCAGCAGUGGGGAAUAUUGCACAAUGGGCGCAGGCCUGAUGCAGCGACGCCGCGUGGGGGAGGACGGCCUUCGGGUUGUAAACUCCUUUCGCUAGGGACGAAGCUUUUUGUGACGGUACCUAGAUAAGAAGCACCGGCUAACUACGUG